rnacentral:rRNA from 1 species
GGGUUGUGAGGUUAAGCGAAUAAGCGUACACGGUGGAUGCCUAGGCAAUCAGAGGCGAUGAAGGACGUGCUAAUCUGCGAUAAGCGUCGGUAAGGUGAUAUGAACCGUUAUACCCGACGAUUUCCGAAUGGGGAAACCCAAUAUCCAAUGGAUAUUAUCAUUAACUGAAUACAUAGGUUAAUGAAGCGAACCGGGAGAACUGAAACAUCUCAGUACCCCGAGGAAAAGAAAUCAACCGAGAUUCCCCUAGUAGCGGCGAGCGAACGGGGAACAGCCCAGAGUCUUAAUCAAUAGCAGCAUCAGGAGAACGGUCUGGAAAGUCCGGCAGUAAAGGGUGAUAGCCCCGUAUCCGAAGAUGCUGUUAUUGUGAACUCGACGAGUAGGGCGGGACACGUGUUAUCCUGUCUGAAUAUGGGGGGACCAUCCUCCAAGGCUAAAUACUCCUGAUUGACCGAUAGUGAACCAGUACCGUGAGGGAAAGGCGAAAAGAACCCCGGCGAGGGGAGUGAAAAAGAACCUGAAACCGUGUACGUACAAGCAGUAGGAGCCCCAUCACUCAAGUGCCUCGCACUGAGUGAUUGGACAAACCACUCGAAAACAGCGCAGCGUUUACCUACAAAGUGGAUUGAUUUUUUCAAGCCGUCGCGCAGUGUACAUAGAAGUACACGAGCAACGGAAGUUAAAAAAUCGAGCCAGUUUGACAGUAAAAGCAAGCGGGACAUUUGAGGAUGGGGUGACUGCGUACCUUUUGUAUAAUGGGUCAGCGACUUAUAUUCUGUAGCGAGGUUAACCGUAUAGGGGAGCCGUAGGGAAACCGAGUCUUAACUGGGCGAAUGAGUUGCAGGGUAUAGACCCGAAACCCGGUGAUCUAUCCAUGGGCAGGUUGAAGGUUGGGUAACACUAACUGGAGGACCGAACCGACUAAUGUUGAAAAAUUAGCGGAUGACUUGUGGAUGGGGGUGAAAGGCCAAUCAAACCGGGAGAUAGCUGGUUCUCCCCGAAAGCUAUUUAGGUAGCGCCUCGUGAACUCAUCUUCGGGGGUAGAGCACUGUUUCGACUAGGGGGUCAUCCCGACUUACCAACUCGAUGCAAACUGCGAAUACCGAAGAAUGUUAUCACGGGAGACACACGGCGGGUGCUAACGUCCGUCGUGAAGAGGGAAACAACCCAGACCGCCAGCUAAGGUCCCAAAGUCAUGGUUAAGUGGGAAACGAAGUGGGAAGGCUCAGACAGCCAGGAUGUUGGCUUAGAAGCAGCCAUCAUUUAAAGAAAGCGUAAUAGCUCACUGGUCGAGUCGGCCCGCGCGGAAGAUGUAACGGGGCUAAACCAUGCACCGAAGCUGCGGCAGCAACACUAAGUGUUGUUGGGUAGGGGAGCGUUCUGUAAGCCUGCGAAGGUGUGCUGUGAGGUAUGCUGGAGGUAUCAGAAGUGCGAAUGCUGACAUAAGUAACGAUAAUGCGGGUGAAAAACCCGCACGCCGGAAGACCAAGGGUUCCUGUCCAACGUUAAUCGGGGCAGGGUGAGUCGACCCCUAAGGCGAGGCUGAAAAGCGUAGUCGAUGGGAAACGGGUUAAUAUUCCCGUACUGGUGGUAACUGCGAUGGGGGAACGGAGAAGGCUAGGUUGUCCGGGCGACGGUCGUCCCGGUUCAAGCAUGUAGGCAGAGUGAUUAGGCAAAUCCGGUCACUUAAUGCUGAGGUGUGAUGACGAGCCACUAAGGUGGUGAAGCAAUUGAUGCCCUGCUUCCAGGAAAAGCCUCUAAGCUUCAGGUUACCAACAAUCGUACCCCAAACCGACACAGGUGGUCAGGUAGAGAAUACUCAGGCGCUUGAGAGAACUCGGGUGAAGGAACUAGGCAAAAUGGUGCCGUAACUUCGGGAGAAGGCACGCUGGCGGUAAGUGAAGUCCCUUGCGGACGGAGCCGAAGCCAGUCGAAGAUACCAGCUGGCUGCAACUGUUUAUUAAAAACACAGCACUGUGCAAACACGAAAGUGGACGUAUACGGUGUGACGCCUGCCCGGUGCUGGAAGGUUAAUUGAUGGGGUUAUCCUUAGGGAGAAGCUCUUGAUCGAAGCCCCAGUAAACGGCGGCCGUAACUAUAACGGUCCUAAGGUAGCGAAAUUCCUUGUCGGGUAAGUUCCGACCUGCACGAAUGGCGUAAUGAUGGCCAGGCUGUCUCCACCCGAGACUCAGUGAAAUUGAACUCGCUGUGAAGAUGCAGUGUACCCGCGGCAAGACGGAAAGACCCCGUGAACCUUUACUAUAGCUUGACACUGAACAUUGAGCCUUGAUGUGUAGGAUAGGUGGGAGACUAUGAAGUGUGGACGCCAGUCUGCAUGGAGUCAACCUUGAAAUACCACCCUUUAACGUUUGAUGUUCUAACCUAGGUCCAUAAUCUGGAUCGGGGACCGUGUCUGGUGGGUAGUUUGACUGGGGCGGUCUCCUCCUAAAGAGUAACGGAGGAGCACGAAGGUUGGCUAAGCAUGGUCGGACAUCAUGCGGUUAGUGCAAAGGCAUAAGCCAGCUUGACUGUGAGAGUGACGGCUCGAGCAGGUACGAAAGUAGGUCUUAGUGAUCCGGUGGUUCUGAAUGGAAGGGCCAUCGCUCAACGGAUAAAAGGUACUCCGGGGAUAACAGGCUGAUACCGCCCAAGAGUUCAUAUCGACGGCGGUGUUUGGCACCUCGAUGUCGGCUCAUCACAUCCUGGGGCUGAAGUAGGUCCCAAGGGUAUGGCUGUUCGCCAUUUAAAGUGGUACGCGAGCUGGGUUUAGAACGUCGUGAGACAGUUCGGUCCCUAUCUGCCGUGGGCGUUGGAAGAUUGAGAGGGGUUGCUCCUAGUACGAGAGGACCGGAGUGAACGCACCACUGGUGUUCGGGUUGUCAUGCCAAUGGCAUUGCCCGGUAGCUAAGUGCGGAAGAGAUAACCGCUGAAAGCAUCUAAGCGGGAAACUUGCCUCGAGAUGAGUCUUCCCUGUCACCUAGAGUGACCUAAAGGAACGUUUAAGACUAAGACGUUGAUAGGCUGGGUGUGUAAGCGUAGCGAUACGUUGAGCUAACCAGUACUAAUGAACCGUGAGGCUUAACCUGACAACACCGAAGGUGUUU